CCAGAGGGUUUUACUCAUCGCCUUCUAUUUCCCUCCUGGUGUGUUUGAAUUGGGAUGUCCUGAGUGCUUCUGACUAGACAUCUUUUGGAGGUGCAUGGGCCACUGGAAUUCAGAAAUCCUAUUGCUCUGCUUGGUGUUCGUGGGCUGGCUGAUGCAUGGCUCAGGCCUUGACUGCCAUCUUGCAGUUUCUUACCUCCCUGUAUGAGGCCGGUUGUGAGUAUAGGACAUCGAACUUGUAACAUUCUGUCAUUUCUUAAGCACAUCAGGGUUCAACAGUUUCCCAGCUAGUCAGCAUCGUCUGGUUUGUAGGCUCCUUAAGGGUACCAGGGUAUUAUGCCUGCCUACACCAAGAUACUUAUAGGCUUUGAUGUCUCUUGUGCCUUGUUACUUUAUGAGUCUUGGCCUCCUCAGCUCAAGCUAUCUCAAAAUCCGGUUCCCGGCAUGACUCUGCAGCACGCGAGGG